UGUCUUGCCUUAUAUAUGCAGAAAACACCAUAACAAGACAAGUUCCUCUCAUUUAUAUAUUUCCAAGAAAAUUUCAAAAACUCUUUGCUAAUGGCUUUUUCAGGUAGCUUAGUGCUCAAAACCAUGCUAACAUCUCCCACCUUCAAGCCAUGUCUACACAAGACAAUAAUAGCCAUGAGAUGCAUGGCUACAACAAGGAGGCCACCACCAAGGCCACCCAUAAAAACUAAACCACCACAAAACAAUAUUAUCAAAGACAAGAAAGAGAAUGUGAUGAUAGAGGAGAAGAGUAACAUAAAGCUACAACAAGAUAAUUCCAUGGUCAAAGCAAAUUAGUUUUUAGGAAUAAUCUUGUUUGUCAAAGACCAUAAAUAAGCUGUUUAUACUUGGUCAAAGUAUAAAUGCAUGUUUUUGUUAUUAGGGAAACUAGUAGCAGCGAAGUGCUCCAUUAGUUUAUUCCUACCAACAUAUAUUAAGUAGUACGUAUAUAUGUUUGAUAUUUUAUUUACGUGUAGACACUUUUCAAAUCCUCUUUUGAAUAUAACCAAUUCUAUCGUUCUUGUAUUGUC